CCCGCCAGUCAGCACACAGGCGAGGAAGCGGGUGGUGGUGGUGGAAGGGGACUCAGACCUUCUUCGACUGCGCCUUCUGCUGUGCGUGUCGGUGUCAGCUGCGGCGGAGGAGCGGUUCCCCAAGGGCGUCCCGAGGAGAAGCCGCCCGCACGUCCGGGGAUUGAUAAUAAUACUCAGCCCCGCCCGCGGAGCGAGUGGAAAAUAGAAUAAGAUAAACGCAUCAGCUGUCGCCACACGCAGCUCAACUGGAAUGAUCACGGGUCUAAUCGGACAAGUUUGAUUUGCAACGGCGAAACACCAGCGAUCCGGGAAGCCGAAGUCGAGGGCUAGCGCAACGAUCCGAACAGUGACACGUGCGAUGGAUCUGGAGGAGUGAAGAGACGCCGAAACAAAAUAAAUAUGUAUUUAUGAGACUAGAUUUUUUUUUCACGUGUGUGUCGAUUAUCCAACAUCGCGCUGACGGUUCCUCGGUGGAUCUAUGAGGAACAAAAGACUCCAAAAAGAGCAGUUGCAUAGUGUUAUUUCUCGCCCGGCGCUUAACAAUUACACACAUUAACCUCCACCAAUCAAGCAAUUAACCGAAACAGCUUGUUGCGAAUCGUCAAAUCGAUCGACAAAUAGCAAUACCAGCGCUCAGUGGACGGACGACACAAGCCCUCGUCUUGCGAGUGAGUUAACCUGAAAGAGAAAAAGAAAAAAACAAAAACAAAACAAUAACCGUGAUCGCUUAGGAGAGAAAAAGUAAGCCAAAAACUCAACAAGAACAAAAGAGA